rnacentral:rRNA from 1 species
CAUCUGUUGCCAGCAUUUAAGGUGGGGACUCAGAUGAGACUGCCGGUGACAAACCGGAGGAAGUGGGGACGACGUCAAGUCAUCAUGGCCCUUAUGUCCUGGGCUACACACGUGCUACAAUGGCCGGUACAGAGUGAAGCGAAACCGCGAGGUGAAGCAAAACGCAGAAAGCCGGUCUCAGUACGGAUUGGAGUCUGAAACUCGACUUCAUGAAGUUGGAAUCGCUAGUAAUCGCGCAUCAGCAUGGCGCGGUGAAUACGUUCCCGGGCCUU